rnacentral:lncRNA from 1 species
UUAAUUUUGGCUCCUACCCAUGAUGAUGAUGAUGAUGAUGAUCUGGGUUGUCAGGGUCUGAAGGCCAGAAGGAAGAGAACUUCAACCAUUCUGCUUCAUGAGGGUUUGGAAUGGAGGACUCCUGCAGUUGGCAACCAGAUACCUGUGAUUAGGGUUCUGACAAUAAGAACAAAUAUAUAUAAAAAAUGAAAUUUGGAAG